ACGCUGAUAGUGAAAUGGUUAUCAAGCAUGCUUUCCAUUUCCUGACACGUCCUUCUAUUGAGCAAGUGGUAGGGGUUCGACUCCCCUUCGGUGUA